rnacentral:lncRNA from 1 species
AAACUACUUGUUGAUUUGAAAGGCGUUUAUUUCUGCAUUCCGUAUCUUCAUUUUCUUUUCGACUGACAAAUCAGCAGAGAAGUUUACUGAUGGCCACAUACCACAGGAACAAGAAUGGUUUUGAUUUCUGCUGUGCAGCAGCACAGGCUGAUUGUGAGACAGCAGCGUGAUGUAGCCACAAAUAUAUCCGGAGACAUUUCUGGAGGCGUAGCUGAUCUGCUGAUAUUUCUGUUAUUCAUGGCUGAAUUACCUCACCUGCAGUGGAUGGGGUCACGCUGCUGGUGAUACCUGGGUUAGCACUGCACAGAUCCAGCUCACUGUCAGGAUCUGUCUGCCAGGGCCUUGCAUCGCCUGGGCUUGGCUGUGUGGCUGCUGCGUCAGUGUGAAAUCAGUUUCUCAUUGCUAUGUUCCUGACAGAAUAACAGCAGAAAGGUCGCACAUUUCUGAUUUGCUCACAGUCAGGUCUCCAAAUUGCCUGAUGGGCUGUAGAUUGAUUUCUGUACCACAGGUACAUUUGCUCAUUUACAACCACUCUCAGCAUUUUCAAAAAAGAAUGCCUAAAUGGCUAUGGUUUGAUUCAGUCGUGGGCUGAAAUUCAGUUAAUGUCAGCUCUCCUCAAAGCACUGUAAAUAGCUACCAAAAACAUGCAAUGUAACACAUGAGUACAAGGCCAAAGCAAGGGGAGAGGUACAAGGAUUCACCUGGUGACUGAAUGCUGGGAAUAUUAAUUACAUGCCCAUCUCACCUGGUACUGAACUGCGAUUAACACUGGCUGAGCUCCAC